rnacentral:rRNA from 1 species
GACGAACGCUGGCGGCGUGCCUAAUACAUGCAAGUCGAACGCUGUGGGGACGGGAGAGUAACACGUGUGUAACCUCCCAUCAGAGGGGAACACACUUGGAAAAAGGUGCUAAACCGAUACUGAUGGACGGACCCGCGGUUCAUUAGUUAGUUGGUGAGGUAACUGCCCACCAAGGCCACGAUGCAUAGCCGGCCUGAGAGGAUGAUCAGCCACACUGGAACUGAGACACGGCCCAGACUCCUACGGGAGGCAGCAGUAGGGAAUAUUGGGCAAUGGGCGAAAGUCUGACCGAGCAACGCCGCGUGAGUGAAGAAGGUUUUCGGAUCGUAAAGCACUGUUAUUAGAGAAGCGGUAUCUACCCAGAAAGCAACGGCUAACUACGUGCCAGCAGCCGCGGUAAUAC